rnacentral:rRNA from 1 species
UACGUAGGGUCCGAGCGUUGUCCGGAAUUAUUGGGCGUAAAGGGCUCGUAGGCGGUUUGUCGCGUCGGGAGUGAAAACACCGGGCUUAACUCGGUGCUUGCUUUCGAUACGGGCAGACUGGAGGUAUGCAGGGGAGAACGGAAUUCCUGGUGUAGCGGUGAAAUGCGCAGAUAUCAGGAGGAACACCGGUGGCGAAGGCGGUUCUCUGGGGACGUA